GGUCAAGCUAAUAAGGGCUGACGGUGGAUACCUAGGCACACAGAGGCGAAGAAGGACGUGGUUACCGACGAAAUGCUCCGGGGAGUUGGAAGCAGACAUUGAUCCGGAGAUAUCCGAAUGGGGCAACCCUAAAUACUACCUGCUGAAUAUAUAGGCAGGAAAGAGCCAACCCAGCGAACUGAAACAUCUUAGUAGCUGGAGGAAGAGAAAUCAAAUAGAGAUUCCCUAAGUAGUGGUGAGCGAAAGGGGAAGAGCCUAAACCAAUUGGUUUACCGAUUGGGGUUGUGGGACAGCGAGAUCGAAUCUAGCGGUUAGACGAAGCAGCUAAAUACUGCACCAGAGAAGGUGAAAGUCCUGUAGUCGAAAACUUUAUAGAUAGUAGCUGAAUCCCGAGUAGCAUGGGGCACGAGGAAUCCCAUGUGAAUCAGCGAGGACCACCUCGUAAGGCUAAAUACUACUGUGUGACCGAUAGUGAACCAGUACCGCGAGGGAAAGGUGAAAAGAACCCCGGAAGGGGAGUGAAAUAGAACAUGAAACCGUCAGCCUACAAGCAGUGGAAGUCCGAUUAAACGGAUGACCGCGUGCCUGUUGAAGAAUGAGCCGGCGACUUAUAGGCACUGGUAGGUUAAGGCGAGAAUGCCGGAGCCAAAGGGAAACCGAGUCUGAAAAGGGCGAUAAUCAGUGUUUAUAGACCCGAACCCUGGUGAUCUAACCAUGGCCAGGAUGAAGCUUGGGUAACACCAAGUGGAGGUCCGAACCGACCGAUGUUGAAAAAUCGGCGGAUGAGCUGUGGUUAGGGGUGAAAUGCCAAUCGAACCAGGAGCUAGCUGGUUCUCCCCGAAAUGUGUUGAGGCGCAGCGGUAACGAUUAUAUCUGGGGGGUAAAGCACUGUUUCGGUGCGGGCUGGGAGACCGGUACCAAAUCGAGACAAACUCAGAAUACCCAGAGCACACGUUGCCAGUGAGACAGUGGGGGAUAAGCUUCAUUGUCAAGAGGGAAACAGCCCAGACCACCAGCUAAGGUCCCCAAAUCAUCGCUAAGUGAUAAAGGAGGUGAGAGUGCACAGACAACUAGGAGGUUUGCCUAGAAGCAGCCACCCUUGAAAGAGUGCGUAAUAGCUCACUAGUCAAGCGCUCUCGCGCCGAAAAUGAACGGGGCUAAGCGAUGUACCGAAGCUGUGGGAUUUGUCUAUCGAUAAAUCGGUAGGGGAGCGUUCCGUCGUAGGUAGAAGCAGUAGCGGCGAGCAGCUGUGGACGAAACGGAAGUGAGAAUGUCGGCUUGAGUAGCGCAAAUGUAUGUGAGAAUCAUACACCCCGAAACCCUAAGGGUUCCUCCGCCAGGUUCGUCCUCGGAGGGUUAGUCGGGUCCUAAGGCGAGGUCGAAAGGCGUAGUCGAUGGAUACAGGGUGAAUAAUCCCUGACUAUUAUGUUGGAGCAUGUAAUGGGACGCAUGAAGGAUAGCCAUACCCUGAUUGGUUUGGGAGGAGUUUACGAACUCCGAGUGGCGAAGGAUAGUGCCAAGAAAAGCAGUACAUGUGGUGAAGGCAUAGUACCCGUACCCGAAACCGACACAGGUAGGGAGGUUGAGAAUACCAAGGGGCGCGAGAUAACUCUCUCUAAGGAACUCGGCAAAAUGGCCCCGUAACUUCGGAAGAAGGGGUGCCCACCUCAGACGUGGGUCGCAGUGAAGAGAUCCAGGCGACUGUUUACCAAAAACACAGGUCUCCGCAAACUCGUAAGAGGACGUAUGGGGGCUGACGCCUGCCCAGUGCCGGAAGGUUAAGGAAGUUGGUCAGGAGCAAUCUAAAGCUAGCGACCGAAGCCCCGGUGAACGGCGGCCGUAACUAUAACGGUCCUAAGGUAGCGAAAUUCCUUGUCGGGUAAGUUCCGACCCGCACGAAAGGCGUAACGAUCUGGAUGGUGUCUCAGAGAGAGACUCGGCGAAAUAGGAAUGUCUGUGAAGAUACGGACUGCCUGCACCUGGACAGAAAGACCCUAUGAAGCUUUACUGUAGCCUGGAAUUGUGUUCGGGCUUCGCUUGCGCAGGAUAGGUGGGAAGCGAAGAAGUUGUCCUUGUGGGGAUAAUGGAGCUAACGGUGAGAUACCACUCUGGCGAAGCUAGAAUUCUAACCUCAAACCGUAAGCCGGUUUAGGAACAGUUUCAGGUGGGCAGUUUGACUGGGGCGGUCGCCUCCUAAAAGGUAACGGAGGCGCGCAAAGGUUCCCUCAGCACGCUUGGAAACCGUGCGACGAGUGUAAAGGCAUAAAGGGAGCUUGACUGCAAGACUGACAAGUCGAGCAGGUACGAAAGUAGGCCUUAGUGAUCCGACGGCGCAGAGUGGAAUGGCCGUCGCUCAACGGAUAAAAGUUACUCUAGGGAUAACAGGCUGAUCUCCCCCAAGAGUCCACAUCGACGGGGAGGUUUGGCACCUCGAUGUCGGCUCAUCGCAACCUGGGGCGGAAGUACGUCCCAAGGGUUGGGCUGUUCGCCCAUUAAAGCGGUACGUGAGCUGGGUUCAGAACGUCGUGAGACAGUUCGGUCCAUAUCCGGUGCAGGCGUAAGAGCAUUGAGAGGAGCCUUCCUUAGUACGAGAGGACCGGGAAGGACGCACCGCUGGUGUACCAGUUAUCGUACCAACGGUAAACGCUGGGUAGCCAAGUGCGGAGCGGAUAACCGCUGAAAGCAUCUAAGUGGGAAGCCCACCUCAAGAUGAGUGCUCUCACUACGUGAGUAGGUAAGGUCACGGGCAGAACACCCGUUCUUAGGCGGUAGGUGGAAGUGCAGUAAUGUAUGUAGCCGAGCCGUGCUAACAGACCGAGGGCUUGACCUC
rfam:Calothrix sp. PCC 7507, complete genome.